CACGAACGCUGGCGGCGUGCCUAACACAUGCAAGUCGAACGGGAAAACCCGCAAGGGUGAGUACAGUGGCGCACGGGUGCGUAACACGUGGGUAAUCUGCCCAGAAGCCCGGAAUAACUCCCCGAAAGGGGUGCUAAUGCCGGAUGAGACCACGGGGACUUCGGUUCCUGGGGGAAAAGGUGGCCUCUGUAUACAAGCUAUCACUUCUGGAUGAGCCCGCGGCCCAUCAGCUAGUUGGCGGGGUAAUGGCCCACCAAGGCUACGACGGGUAGCUGGUCAGAGAGGACGAUCAGCCACACUGGAACUGAGACACGGUCCAGACUCCUACGGGAGGCAGCAGGGGGGAAUCUUGCGCAAUGGGCGAAAGCCUGACGCAGCAACGCCGCGUGUGUGAUGAAGGUCUUCGGAUCGUAAAGCACUGUCGGGAGGGACGAAUAAGGGCCGGGUGAACAAUCCGGUUCGACGACGGUACCUCCAGAGGAAGCACCGGCUAACUCUGUGCCAGCAGCCGCGGUAAUAC
rnacentral:rRNA from 1 species